rnacentral:rRNA from 1 species
CUAGCGACUUCAGAGUUUGAUCCUGGCUCAGGAUGAACGCUAGCUACAGGCUUAACACAUGCAAGUCGAGGGCAUCGGGAAAGUAGCUUGCUACUUUUGCCGGCGACCGGCGGAUGGGUGAGUAACGCGUACCCAACCUGCCCCUUCCCGGGCACAGCCCUUGGAAACGAGGAUUAACGCCCGAUGGCGUCAGGAUGCCGCAUGGCAUUCCGACCAAAUGCGAAGGAAGGGGAUGGGGGUGCGUCCCAUUAGCUAGUUGGCGGGGUAACGGCCCACCAAGGCAUCGAUGGGUAGGGGUUCUGAGAGGAAGGUCCCCCACACUGGAACUGAGACACGGUCCAG